AUUAAGCCAUGCAUGUCUAAGUAUAAGCAAUUAUACAGCGAAACUGCGAAUGGCUCAUUAUAUAAGUUAUCGUUUAUUUGAUAGUACCUUACUACUUGGAUAACCGUGGUAAUUCUAGAGCUAAUACAUGCUAAAAAUCCCGACUUCGGAAGGGAUGUAUUUAUUAGAUUAAAAACCAAUGCCCUUCGGGGCUCACUGGUGAUUCAUGAUAACUCCUCGAAUCGCAUGGCCUUGCGCCGGCGAUGGUUCAUUCAAAUUUCUUCCCUAUCAACUUUCGAUGUUUGGGUAUUGGCCAAACAUGGUUGCAACGGGUAACGGAGGGUUAGGGCUCGACCCCGGAGAAGGAGCCUGAGAAACGGCUACUACAUCCAAGGAAGGCAGCAGGCGCGCAAAUUACCCAAUCCCGACACGGGGAGGUAGUGACAAUAAAUACUGAUACAGGGCUCUUUUGGGUCUUGUAAUUGGAAUGAGUACAAUUUAAAUCCCUUAACGAGGAACAAUUGGAGGGCAAGUC
rnacentral:rRNA from 1 species